UACGAAGGGGGCUAGCGUUGUUCGGAUUUACUGGGCGUAAAGCGCACGUAGGCGGAUUGUUAAGUCAGGGGUGAAAUCCUGGAGCUCAACUCCAGAACUGCCUUUGAUACUGGCAAUCACGAGUCCGGAAGAGGUAAGUGGAACUCCUAGUGUAGAGGUGGAAUUCGUAGAUAUUAGGAAGAACACCAGUGGCGAAGGCGGCUUACUGGUCCGGAACUGACGCUGA
rnacentral:rRNA from 1 species